rnacentral:rRNA from 1 species
GAAUUUUAUAAAUUAAAAAUAAAAAAAUUUAGAGAUUUUAAAAAUUUUAUAUUUAUUUAGUUGGGGGGAUUGUUAAAUUAAAUAAACUUUAAUUAUAGAUAAAAGUCAUAUAUUAAUGAUAAUAAGGAAUAAUGUAUAAAUUAAAUAAGAAUUAAUUACCUCAGGGAUAACAGCGUAAUAUUGUUGGAGAGAUCUUAUUGAUAAUAAUGAUUGC